UACAGAGGGGGCAAGCGUUGUUCGGAAUUACUGGGCGUAAAGGGCGCGUAGGCGGCCUGCUAAGUCGAACGUGAAAUCCCCGGGCUCAACCCGGGAACUGCGUCCGAUACUGGCAGGCUUGAAUCCGGGAGAGGGAUGCGGAAUUCCAGGUGUAGCGGUGAAAUGCGCAGAUAUCAGGAGGAACACCGGUGGCGAAGGCGGGUCUCUGGGCCGAUAUUGACGCUGAGGAGCGAAAGCGUGGGGAGCAAACAGG
rnacentral:rRNA from 1 species